UUGCGGCUGGAUCACCUCCUUUCUAAGGAUCAUGGCGGAUAGAGCUGCUCACGCACUCUUCCUCCUGUCCAAAGAACAUUGCCGCCGUCCUCAUGUCCCUUCAUCCUGGAAACAUCUUCGAGAAGAAGAUGCAGCCUGAGCUGGCUCACGCCGCCUGCGGCCAUUUGGCCGGCUAGGUACGAGCGGGGGCCGGUAGCUCAGGUGGUUAGAGCGCACGCCUGAUAAGCGUGAGGUCGGAGGUUCGAGUCCUCCUCGGCCCACCAUCUCGGCGAUUGGUUCAGCUCGCGAGUGCGAACAUUGUGAACAUUCGCUGUGGGGCCUUAGCUCAGUUGGGAGAGCGCUAGCUUUGCAAGCUUGAGGUCAUCGGUUCGAUCCCGAU
rnacentral:tRNA from 1 species